rnacentral:tRNA from 1 species
AUUGCUGUAGCUCAGUGGCAGAGCGCUUGCCUAGCAUGUAUGAGGCACUGGGUUCGAUCCUCAGCACCAUAUA